rnacentral:rRNA from 1 species
CAGUAGCCGCGGGAAUACGUAGGUGGCAAGCGUUGUCCGGAAUUAUUGGGCGUAAAGGGCUCGCAGGCGGUUUCUUAAGUCUGAUGUGAAAGCCCCCGGCUCAACCGGGGAGGGUCAUUGGAAACUGGGAAACUUGAGUGCAGAAGAGGAGAGUGGAAUUCCACGUGUAGCGGUGAAAUGCGUAGAGAUGUGGAGGAACACCAGUGGCGAAGGCGACUCUCUGGUCUGCAACUGACGCUGAGGAGCGAAAGCGUGGGGAGCGAACAGGAUUAGAUACCCCAGUAGUCCCUGUCUCUUAUAC